GCGGCUCGCUAGGGGUGCCGGCAAGCGUCGGCUGAGAGAGUCCCUUUGAACCUGAUUGAGAUCAUCCUCGCGCAGGGAAGCCCGCUCGCCAUGCA
rnacentral:ncRNA from 2 species